GCUCAUCUGUUAGACAAAAGCACAACCAGUGCAAUGAAACAAUGAAACCUUGUGUAAGGGUUUUUGUUUAGUUUUUCCUGUUUUUCCUCUCAUCUCCGCAGCCGUGCAGUGUCCAGGCAGUACCAGAAGGAGACGCUCUGCUGAACUGUUGAAGCGUAAAGCUCAGCUGGAGAGCCACUACAAGGAGAAGCUGCAGCAUCGCUGCUGUAAAGACGGCCUCAGGGAGAUCCCGAUGCCGUAUUCCUGCACGCGACGUUCCCUCUACAUCACUGAGGGCUGGGAAUGCAUCCGAGCUUUCCGACACUGCUGCGCCACUUACAGGGACCAGGUGUUUGACACAGAGAUUCCCACCACCCCACCAACCACAACUGCAGCUCCCACCACCUCCUCUCAACCCUGGACUGUCAGUCAUACUUCCAGACGAGAGAAAAUAACGCUCUCCCGAUAUAACUUUGGAACGCAGACAGUUCAUAGUGGCAAGCCUGAACUGGAGUCAGUUGUGCCAAACUCUGUGCCAGAGACAUUCAUCAAUGUCAGAGGCAGUGUGUGUUGGCAGACAGCAUUGAUAACUCAAUCAGCGAGGACUCUCUGGCGUCUCUGAUCCGAAUGCCUGGUGGCUGUGUGGAGCAGAACUUGGCCUCCAUCACUCUGCCACUCAUUUCCACCCUGUACCUGGACCGAAGCAACAGCUGGGAGAGUGUAGGAGUGCAACGCAAGGCUGAGGCUAUCCGAUACAUCAGGAGAGGCUAUGAGAACCAGCUGGCAUACAGAAGGAGCGCUGGCUCCUGUGUCUCUGUACGGCGGAUACGGGGCACAGGAGCAAGCACAUGGAUCACAGCGUACGUGGUGAAGGUGUGGCUGAUGAUGGCCGUUUUGCCAUCAUCGGCAUCAACCAGCAACAAGUGUGUGACCCUCUGCUCUACCUGGUGAAGAAUAAAUUCCGGCAUAGAGAGAAAAUCUACGUAGAAGACAACCCCGUUUACAGCACGACCAUGACUGGUGGUCUCUGUGGUGACGACCCAGAGACAACUCUGACCGCCUUUGUCCACAUCGGUCCCACAUUUGUCCACAAUGCGCUCAAGCAGGCAGGGAUCCACUGCAGCAGUCCAGGUGUAAAUGUGGAGGAAGCCAUCCGUUCAACAUGAGCCUACUUGAAGAGAGCUCUGACGAAGCCUGUGGGGAGAGGAGACCAUACACGGUGGCCAUCGCCUCUUAUGCCCUGGCUUUGGACGGCUUGCCCACCACUCUUCAUGAACUUUUACUCAGAGGUGCAGCUCCAGGUUUCAGCCACUGGCUUGACAGGGAAAACCACUUGUUCAUGCUGGAGGCGACCGGCUAUGCCCUGCUGGCUCUGGUCAAGUGGGGACGAAUGGAGGAAGCUGCUGCACCCUUCAAAUGGCUGAACAGCCAGAGAAGAAGAGGAGGAGGCUUCGGCUCCACUCAGCCCACCAUGGUGGGUGGUGGUCUCUGCGUCAAACACCUGGUCAGAGUACCUGAUACACAAACCCCCUCCUGAUGACCACAGUCUGGAUGGAGACGUCAGGAUAACAGGACGCAAGGAAAUCCGCUACCAUUUUAACCCGAAGACAGCCUAUGCUGCUCGUACCUCCAGGUUGCCUGCUAAUCUUGAUUUGGAAGUAGAGGCUCGAGGAAAUGGACAAGGAAUACUAGAGCACAGGGAAAGACGACCACGGGUUGUGACCUAUUACAAUCAGCUGCAUGAGGUGGAAGAGAAAAUGCCCUGCAAGCACUUUGAUCUCAACGUCUCUUUUGAAGGAUCCAGCGCAGGGCUCUAGGACCCAGAGACGUCAGGAUGGUGGUUCUUGAUAUCAGUCUACCAACUGGAUUCACCCCAGAAAACUCUGACCUGGAGAUGCUGUCCAAUUCAGUGCAUCGUUACAUCAGUAACUUCCAGAUUGUAGACAACCUGAGUGACAGAGGCUCCCUGAUCAUUCACCUGUUCAAAGUAACAUCACCGUAUUUAUAAUUAUUAUUCUAUAUCAUAUCAUUUUAUGUUAUUCAUAUGCUUUUCUUUUUUUCCAAGAAGUAGGUUUCUCAAUGCUCAGUAAAUAAGUCAUUAUGACCACAGUCAACAAUCUGAGGCAGUUUUAGGCUAUUACACAAAACCAGCUUAUUGGUACCAAAGCCACGGUUCAGAACUCAGACUUGCUAAAUCAGUGUUGGUGUCGUGCAGUGUAGGGCUGCAGCCAGAGUACUGAGGAUAGUUAGCAAGAGAGAUCAUAUUUCUCCUAUGCUGGUUUCUCUUCAUUGGCUUCCUGUGAAAUGUAGAAUAGAAUUCAAAAUCCUUCUUCUGACAUAUAAAGCUCUUAACAGCCAAUCUCCAUCAUAUCUUAAAGACCUGAUAGUACCAUAUUAUCCUAGCAGAACUCUUCGCUCUCAGACUGCAGGCUUACUUGGAGAAGUGACCUGUAACUUCUCUCUAAAAGUAGAAUGGGAGGCAGAGCCUUCAGUUAUCAGCUCCUCUCCUGUGGAACCAGCUCCCAGUUUGGGUUCUGGAGGCGGACACCCUCUCUAAUUUUAAGACCAGGCUUAAAACCUUCCUUUUUGACAAAUCUUAUCGUUAGGACUGACUGGGGGACCCUGAGGGGGUCAGCUGGAGUCUUCCUCUUGGACGUCCCUUAGUUCUGCUGCUAUAGGCCUAGGCUGCUGGAGGACCUCUCUGGAUGCACUGAGCCCUUCUCUAUCUAGCAUUAUAUACAAUGGUAUACCAUAAAUAUAUAUACCAUUAUUGCAUUACACUCACUCUGUUUCUCCCUGUGUCCUUUCUCCGAGUGUCCCUGAUACCAGAGCUGGAUGCUUCAGAUCUGUGGUGGUUCUCCCACCAACUGGCCUAAUCUCCAUCUGUGGGAUGCUGCUGCUGCUGACCUUCCUCCAGCCCACUGCUUCCAGCUUCCCAUUUCCAUCAAUCUGCUCUGCAUCACCCUCACUAUACUUGAUUUGCUCGUCUACAUAUUUUUGAAUUUACCACCAGCUAUAUAUGUAGUAUAUUUAAUGCCAGAGCCAUACACCAUAGCAGUAAACUAUAAUCAGUUUCCAGCCCAGAGGGAUAUAUGCGCAGAUUUUUUUAAAUACCAUGUAGAAGACUAUAUACAGGAAGAUGAGGUAUCAGUUCUUGCACAUAGAUAUACAACAGUCCUUUAUUACUCCCCAGGUCAGGGGAAAUUUCCAGUGUUAGAGCAGCAAAAAUCUUUCAGAGCAGCACUAACUACAGUUUACUACAGUAAAGAUAAUAAUUAUAAUAACAAUGAUAUAUAUACAAGAAUGAAAAAUGAAUAAAUACCGUAUUACUACACUAUAAGUGACAUCAGCAUAAAGUGGCUUGUGGAAUACAUGUAAUUGUAAAAGUGCAGAAAAUGAUUUUCUCAAAACAGGUGAGUCCUGUGAGUAUGACCAAAAUAUGAGAUAAAACUACCAGAAACAUGUACAAAACGACCAAAAUAUGAUUGGUUGAUAAUGUAUCAGUGUUGUUAUUGAUUAUUGAUCGGUUGCAGGGACAGAGAUUUGUGUCUGAGUCUCUGCUGUCAUCUAAUCUCUCUCAUGUAAGAUCAUGUCACAGGAGGGGGCGCUACUGACCUCUUGUGGACACAGGCGGUAACGACACGACAUUAUUACUAACUGUAUAGCUGGCGACAUUACAGGUGAGCAGCACUUCCUGUUCAUCUUCAACGUAAAAGCAUCUUUCUUUAGUGUACAUUUUAUGUCAAACGUAUUACUAAGCGAUUUUGGUCGAUUCAGAAGGAUCUCCGGUGUAAACCAAGUCGUAUUUGACGACAGCUAGCUUCUCCACUUGCUCCGAUUACUUUUGUUGUAGUCUGAGUCACGUCCAAACAGGAAAUGAAUCCACAAUGUAGCUAAUGACAAUCGAUAGCUGCGUCUGUGAUGGCAGCGUUAGCGAGCUAGCAGCUAAUCAGAAGCUAGCGACAAGCUAACUCCAGCGCUACCAGCAGCGUCUCUUUAAAAGAUGCUGAUCACGAUAUCGGGCUGAAACAUUAGACCUGGGACAGGAAACGGAGCUAGAGCUCUGUGUCUUGGAGAGAACUGAUUUUAGAGCUACGUGUGUUAAGGUAUUAGUCCGUGUCAUAACAAACCCUCGUUAGCACUUCCGCUAGCUCGGCUAACACUUCCGGUCACGAAUGCAUUUGUACAUUACCUAUAACGUGUUCAUUUUUGAACGUAUAGUGACAACAAACACAAUUUGAGGGAGUCGACAAGCUAGUGGUCCUUAAAUACAUUUUGGUUCAUACUGCAGAUUCUUCUGAGUCUCACAAAACCACGUUUUAGCCUAAGAGCAUUACGAUAGUUUUACGUUGAAACAGGAAGUGCUGCUCAUCUGUACUGUCGCCAGCUUUGCCUCAAAUAAUAAUUAGUGUCGUUACCGCCUGUGUCCGCCAGAGGGGCAGUAGCGCCCCCUGCUCUGAUAAGGAUAAGGAUAAACUUUAUUGAUCCCACAGUGGGUAAAGUUCACCGAGCUGCUUCACUGAGGAGAGUCUUUUAGUUUUCAGAUAAUAUGAUGGCGAAGAAAAUGUGUUACUGCAGUAAAGAUUCCACUGAAUUAUUAUUUGAUCCAUGAUCGAGAGCACUCAGUUCUUCUCCAGUUUGUUGCUGCGGUCCGGUGAACAGGUUGAGAGGACUUUGGGUAUUGAGGCUGCAAGAUCCACCAUCAUCAAUGAGGUUCAGUACACCAUGGUCAACCACGGAAUGAGCAUCGACCGGCGUCACGUCAUGCUUCUUGCUGAUCUUAUGUCCUAUAAGGACCAGACCUGCUGGGAUCUGUACAGAUGUCUUGAUGAGGGUGGGAGUGGUUUCAGUAAAGGAGAGCUGGAUCAGUCUACAAACACAUUGUUGUAACCAGUGUGGGAAAUCUUUCAGGCAGUCAAGUUAUUUGAAACGUCAUAUGCUCAUCCACACGGAAGAAAUUAGUUUUUUACUGUGAUAUUUCCUCAUGUUUGACAAAGUGGUUAUUAUCUUAACUGUGAAAUAAAAGCCCUCCUUAAACGUUA